UUAAGCGACUAAGCGUACACGGUGGAUGCCCUGGCAGUCAGAGGCGAUGAAGGACGUGCUAAUCUGCGAAAAGCGCCGGCGAGGUGAUAUGAACCUUUGACCCGGCGAUGUCCGAAUGGGGAAACCCAGUGCAAUUCGUUGCACUAUCGUUAACUGAAUACAUAGGUUAACGAGGCGAACCGGGGGAACUGAAACAUCUAAGUACCCCGAGGAAAAGAAAUCAACCGAGAUUCCCCCAGUAGCGGCGAGCGAACGGGGAGCAGCCCGGAGUCUGAAUCAGCUUGUGUGUUAGUGGAACGGUCUGGAAAGUCCGACGGUACAGGGUGAUAGUCCCGUACACGAAAAUGCACAGGUUGUGAACUCGAAGAGUAGGGCGGGACACGUGGUAUCCUGUCUGAAUAUGGGGGGACCAUCCUCCAAGGCUAAAUACUCCUGACUGACCGAUAGUGAACCAGUACCGUGAGGGAAAGGCGAAAAGAACCCCGGCGAGGGGAGUGAAAAAGAACCUGAAACCGUGUACGUACAAGCAGUGGGAGCCUACUUGUUAGGUGACUGCGUACCUUUUGUAUAAUGGGUCAGCGACUUAUAUUCUGUAGCAAGGUUAACCGUAUAGGGGAGCCGAAGGGAAACCGAGUCUUAACUGGGCGUUAAGUUGCAGGGUAUAGACCCGAAACCCGGUGAUCUAGCCAUGGGCAGGUUGAAGGUUGGGUAACACUAACUGGAGGACCGAACCGACUAAUGUUGAAAAAUUAGCGGAUGACCUGUGGCUGGGGGUGAAAGGCCAAUCAAACCGGGAGAUAGCUGGUUCUCCCCGAAAGCUAUUUAGGUAGCGCCUCGUGAACUCAUCUUCGGGGGUAGAGCACUGUUUCGGCUAGGGGGCCAUCCCGGCUUACCAACCCGAUGCAAACUACGAAUACCGAAGAAUGUUAUCACGGGAGACACACGGCGGGUGCUAACGUCCGUCGUGAAGAGGGAAACAACCCAGACCGCCAGCUAAGGUCCCAAAGUCAUGGUUAAGUGGGAAACGAUGUGGGAAGGCACAGACAGCCAGGAUGUUGGCUUAGAAGCAGCCAUCAUUUAAAGAAAGCGUAAUAGCUCACUGGUCGAGUCGGCCUGCGCGGAAGAUGUAACGGGGCUAAACCAUGCACCGAAGCUGCGGCAGCGACGCUUAUGCGUUGUUGGGUAGGGGAGCGUUCUGUAAGCCGUUGAAGGUGGCCUGUGAGGGUUGCUGGAGGUAUCAGAAGUGCGAAUGCUGACAUAAGUAACGAUAAAGCGGGUGAAAAGCCCGCUCGCCGGAAGACCAAGGGUUCCUGUCCAACGUUAAUCGGGGCAGGGUGAGUCGACCCCUAAGGCGAGGCCGAAAGGCGUAGUCGAUGGGAAACAGGUUAAUAUUCCUGUACUUGGUGUUACUGCGAAGGGGGGACGGAGAAGGCUAUGUUAGCCGGGCGACGGUUGUCCCGGUUUAAGCAUGUAGGCGGAGGUUCCAGGUAAAUCCGGUACCUUUUAACGCUGAGGUGUGAUGACGAGGCACUACGGUGCUGAAGUAACAAAUGCCCUGCUUCCAGGAAAAGCCUCUAAGCAUCAGGUAACACGAAAUCGUACCCCAAACCGACACAGGUGGUCAGGUAGAGAAUACCAAGGCGCUUGAGAGAACUCGGGUGAAGGAACUAGGCAAAAUGGUGCCGUAACUUCGGGAGAAGGCACGCUGAUAUGUAGGUGAAGCCCCUGCGGGUGGAGCUGAAAUCAGUCGAAGAUACCAGCUGGCUGCAACUGUUUAUUAAAAACACAGCACUGUGCAAACACGAAAGUGGACGUAUACGGUGUGACGCCUGCCCGGUGCCGGAAGGUUAAUUGAUGGGGUUAGCGGUAACGCGAAGCUCUUGAUCGAAGCCCCGGUAAACGGCGGCCGUAACUAUAACGGUCCUAAGGUAGCGAAAUUCCUUGUCGGGUAAGUUCCGACCUGCACGAAUGGCGUAAUGAUGGCCAGGCUGUCUCCACCCGAGACUCAGUGAAAUUGAACUCGCUGUGAAGAUGCAGUGUACCCGCGGCAAGACGGAAAGACCCCGUGAACCUUUACUAUAGCUUGACACUGAACACUGGUCCUUGAUGUGUAGGAUAGGUGGGAGGCUUUGAAGCGUGGACGCCAGUCUGCGUGGAGCCGCCCUUGAAAUACCACCCUUUAAUGGCUGGUGUUCUAACGUAGACCCGUAAUCCGGGUUGCGGACAGUGUCUGGUGGGUAGUUUGACUGGGGCGGUCUCCUCCCAAAGAGUAACGGAGGAGCACGAAGGUUAGCUAAUCCUGGUCGGACAUCAGGAGGUUAGUGCAAUGGCAUAAGCUAGCUUGACUGCGAGAGUGACGGCUCGAGCAGGUGCGAAAGCAGGUCAUAGUGAUCCGGUGGUUCUGAAUGGAAGGGCCAUCGCUCAACGGAUAAAAGGUACUCCGGGGAUAACAGGCUGAUACCGCCCAAGAGUUCAUAUCGACGGCGGUGUUUGGCACCUCGAUGUCGGCUCAUCACAUCCUGGGGCUGAAGUAGGUCCCAAGGGUAUGGCUGUUCGCCAUUUAAAGUGGUACGCGAGCUGGGUUUAGAACGUCGUGAGACAGUUCGGUCCCUAUCUGCCGUGGGCGCUGGAGAAUUGAGGGGGGCUGCUCCUAGUACGAGAGGACCGGAGUGGACGCAUCACUGGUGUUCGGGUUGUCAUGCCAAUGGCACUGCCCGGUAGCUAAAUGCGGAAGAGAUAAGUGCUGAAAGCAUCUAAGCACGAAACUUGCCCCGAGAUGAGUUCUCCCUGAGACUAUAAGUCUCCUGAAGGAACGUUGAAGACGACGACGUUGAUAGGUCGGGUGUGUAAGCGCAGCGAUGCGUUGAGCUAACCGAUACUAAUGAACCGUGAGGCUUAACCU
rnacentral:rRNA from 1 species